CCAUCAGGGUUGAAUUUCUGGGGCUUUCUAGCAGUCCUUUAUAUAAAGUCAACCGAAAAAAUUCUUACCAAGAAUCAUGAGAUUAAUAUGGUUUUAUCCCCAAUACCUAGUGGGUGCUCAACCAAUAUUUACUGAACUACUAAUUUAAUGGCGGUAGAAACCAUUGCUCCCUAUAAAAAGCUGCUUAAAAACAUGAGAGGAUCAGGUUUUGUCUUAGAUAUAAGAUAAAUUUCACGAGGAAACAUGGGAAUAAUCAGUAGGUGUGCACCAGAUAAAUGGUGAGAGAGAGAACGUUUCAGGGGAGGGACUUAAAGUAUCACUGAUGUGUAAAUGAUACCCAAAUGUACUCCUCUAAUCCCAAAUCUCUUCUAAUCCAGAAACCCUUCCAGCAUGAUAUGUCUAAAAUUCAAAUAACUAUAUCACUACCCUCCCACCAGCACCACAAAGAAGUUCUUCACAGAAUCCCUGUUUCUACUAAUGAUACCACUGUUCUCUUUGUUCAAAUACACCAAAAGUCUUGGAAUUAUCUUUGACUCCUCCCUCUCAGUAUAUAAGCACUCACCAAUAGCUAUCAAUGCUUUCUUCUAGGUUUUUAUCUACU
rnacentral:lncRNA from 10 species